UAACCCAGGUCUUGGUUGCCACGGCUUCUCAUUAGCUCCUUAAGAUCCCUGUGGAGCACUGGUUGCUCCGCAGGGACUGCAAGGAGCCGCAGGACAGAUGGCAGCUGCUUGGACUGCUCUC
ensembl:miRNA Mir6332 microRNA 6332